rnacentral:misc_RNA from 1 species
UACGUAGGGGGCAAGCGUUGUCCGGAAUUAUUGGGCGUAAAGCGCGCGCGGGCGGUCUCUUAAGUCUGAUGUGAAAGCCCACGGCUCAACCGUGGAGGGUCAUUGGAAACUGAGGGACUUGAGUGAAGAAGAGGAAAGUGAAAUUCCACGUGUAGCGUUGAAAUGCGUACAGAUGUGGAGGAACACCAGUGGCGAAGGCGAAUUUCUGGUCUGUAACUGACGCUGAGGCGCGAAAGCGUGGGGAGCAAACAGG